UACGUAGGGGGCUAGCGUUGUCCGGAAUCAUUGGGCGUAAAGCGCGUGUAGGCGGUCCGGUAAGUCCGCUGUGAAAGUCGGGGGCUCAACCCUCGGAUGCCGGUGGAUACUGUCGGGCUUGAGUACGGAAGAGGCGAGUGGAAUUCCUGGUGUAGCGGUGAAGUGCGCAGAUAUCAGGAGGAACACCAAUUGCGAAGGCAGCUCGCUGGGACGUUACUGACGCUGAGACGCGAAAGCGUGGGGAGCAAACAGG
rnacentral:rRNA from 1 species